rnacentral:lncRNA from 1 species
ACUUUGAGAGGCCAAGGUGGGUGGAUCACCUGAGGUCAGGAAUUCAAGACCAGCCUGGCCAACAUGGUGAAAACCUGACUCUACUGAAAAUACAAAAAUUAGCUGGAUGUGGUGGCGCAUGCCUGUAAUCCCAGCUACUGGGGCAGCUGAGGCGGGAGAAUCGCUUGAACCCAGGACGCACAGGUUGCAGUGAGCCGAGAUCACACCACUGUAUUCCAGCCUGGGUGACAGAGUGAGACUCCAUCUGAAAAAAAAAAAAAAGAAAGUGAUUCCAUGUUUUCUG